ACUUCGACAACAUUCGUUUAUUUUCUUGAAAACGGAGUCAUAACCCCGAAAUAUUGAAUACAAAAGGUAAGAAAACAAAUCGAUGUUCAAACGAUCUCUCUGUCCAACAAAAGAGGAGACUGACAACACAAUGAAAAUACUUGAAAGCAGAAUGGAAACCCACAUUCAACAUUAUAUUCAUGGUACGUGGCCAGAUUGUUAUGGAUUUAAGCUCACGACUGUUAGACUGCGGCCUCUAUUCCAAGAUCGGACAGUGACGAAGGAGUUCGAGUUCAUCAUUUUACGAUGCUCCAGUCUACUCAGCUGUAAACUAGUACCAUUCGA